ensembl:lncRNA
UUCCCUUCAAGGAUUGUUCCCUGAGCCGCAUCAAAUCCCCAACCCCCUUUCAUCUUCCUUUUGCUUCUUCAGCUCUUUAGCUGUGAACCAGUUUUUUUCUUCCCCUUCCAGAUAAUUAUUUACACAGAAGGAGAAUAAUUAGCAGCCCAGGAAACACUUCUUUGUUCUCAGCUCUCUGCCCCUGCCUGCCUCUCUUGUCUGAAGUGGUGCCGCUUGGAAGAGGGACAUCAAAGCUGCUGGGGAGGCUCUGCACGGAGAGGGAUUUUCUUUGUCUGAGUGAGAAGCAGAGAAAUACGACUGUGGCUUGUCCAUCUCUGCCCCCAAGUGCUGCCAUUCCUCUGAGCCUGGGGAAACCUAGUGACCUCGGAGAGAAUCAAAUUUUAAAUCUCCAAACAAACAAACACACAGAUGGGGUAGAGAGGGCCAAGAUUCAAAUGCCAAGAAGACCAAGGCCAAACCAUCAGAGGAAGGAGUAAAGGUGGUGUUGACCAGAGCACAAGGCUGGAGCUGGCAGACGUGUGUGGAGAGCAUUAGCAAUUUGGGACUGAGUGAAGAACAUCAUUUCCUGGAUGAUGGGGGCAUAGAGCACAGGUGGGCUGGGGUGGCCAGGAAAGCCAGAAGCUGGGAACUCUAAGAGAGCCACCGACUUGGGGGCCCAUCUCACUGUGGGCAAGAGAGCAAUACUGGAGGAUGGAGAUGAGCGGUCAUCUCAUGAGGGGAGAGAAGCCCAGGGUCCUUGCAAGGACUCCUUGGCUGAUGGAGCAUCUGCUCCCAACACAUGGCAGAACAGAGCCCCUGAGGAAUUCAGAGCCAAAGUCUAACAGCUCAAUCAAGGUACAAAAUCUAAUGCCGACUCUAAUAGGAUUUUUAGGCUCUGGUCUGUGACUCAGGUCAGGACUUGUACCUUUUAGGAUCCAACAGAUAAAACAGAAGCAACUGUGUGGAUGAAGAAUAGGGAAUCUGGUACAGGGAUCUGGUUAUACAAAUGAUGCAAGGGGUGGACCUGAGUGGGCCCCAGUAAGAGAGCCCAGAGAAGAAUAUGGCAGUAAGCCCCCACCCCUUCUUGGUCAGAGGUAAAAGAGAGGAAGACAGUAUUACCCAGAGUCUGAGAUCCCCAAGCAGAAGCUGGCAUCACAGUGGGUGAGUCCAGCAGAAUCUGGGUCUAUAGUAGCUCCUAGAGAUGCUGACCAGACUGUAUGUGUGCGUGAUUAACUCUCUCCAGUCUCCUUCCAGUACCAGCCAUUGCUGGACCCAGACAGAAGCCUCAAAUGCACCAAGAAGAGACAACUCUUUUGGCAAUUCCCUGAGCAGAAAAAAAGGAGAGAGAGGUGCUGGACCAGCACAGAAACCCAGCUUCAAAUGACAAGACGAUGUGGUUUCCCAGAGGUUCCACUAGAUCAGGGAUCAGAAAACUUUUCCUUUAAAGGGCCAUAUAGUAGAUAUUUUUGGUUCCGCAGGCCAUUCAGUCUCUGUUACAAUGACUCAACUUUGCUGUUGUUUUGUGAAGCAGUCACAGACUGUAUAUAAACAAAUUUGCUAUCUUCUAAUAAAACCUUAUUUACACAAAUAACA